rnacentral:lncRNA from 1 species
AUAACCUUCACGAAAGCAUGGUUUCUCAAUUCUCAGUUACUGAUAAAAUCGUAAACGAAGCGGUCGGUUCGCGGGUUUGGUGUGUUUUGAACAGUUUUAACGAAUUAAUAUUCUGUUUUAUUACAUAAUAUUAAAUUAAAAAUUGAUAUCCGAAAGUAAUUCCUCUUUUUGCGGAGGCAUUCAUCCUCCCAGGUGUCACUUUUUCUUGAAAGAGCUCCGAUGUUUUGAAGACCUGCAUCACAGACAAUCUAUGUUGGUCAAAUUUUUGGGCUCCUUCAACAGGAUAUAUAAACACUUUAAAAGGUGUAAUAUCACGGAUAGAACAUCGCAUACAAGUUAUCUGCUGUACUACAAAACAAAAUAUCUUAUUGAAAGUAACGUAACUUUUUCAAUGGCUAGUCAAGAAGACCCUGUCAAUAUUUUGACAGAAGACCCUGACAACAUUAAGAAAGAAGAUCCUGUCAAUAUUAAGACAGAAGAUCCUGUCAAAAUUAAGACAGAAGAUCCAACUGUCGAAAUGAAUAUUGAUGUCCCAGCAACGAUUCCAAGUGAUGGAAGUCGUUCACCCAGUCCAAGCGGUAAAAUUAAAAAGCAAAAAAAAAUUGAAAAUUCAAAGGAAAUGAAGAAACGUACCCAUGAGAGGGAUAUUUCCGUUCAGCAUUUUUCAACUGAUGACAUGAUUAAAAUCUCCCUGGUAAUGUUCAGUGAUUUUAUUGCAAGUCACACUCAGAAGGCAAUUGAAAACCCUUCAGCAGAAAACGCACAAGAGCCUGGUGAAAAGAAGCACGUUGAAGUGCAGUGCUCCGAAAAUUGGGGGGACUCCAUGUUUGUUUACGACGUUCCUCAAGAUGAAUCUACGCCCGACAGUGACGGACCUGGAACCAAAAAUGAGUCUGGUGAAGCUGGGAAUACAUCGGCUGCUCAUGAUGGCGACCUCGCAGGAGAUCAGGUAUUUAAAAUGAUCAAAAUUAGUUAAACAUCUCAAGCAUGCAUUUUCAAGCUUCAAAAAGAUCUGAUCGCGAAACCCCGGGCAUAACGGUAAGGAAAAUAGAAUAUUAAAGUCAUCUGGGAAACAUCUGUUUACAUGAGCGGAUCAAUAUUUACCCAGAUUUGAAGCGUUCAUCUUCUACCUUCAUUUCGGCGUGUGAAGCAAUGAAAGUCAGUAUGCAAUCAUAAAUUCGUUAAGUCGAAUGGAGCGUUUAUCUCAUUAAUUCAUUUUGGGGUUGUCUUUUCACAUGCUAAAAUGCCGGAUUUGAUUCUUCAUUGCAGUUUUUCAAAAUUAUCUCGUACAGCUGUUUUAUAUUAUUGUCCAGUCUUGCAUUUGUGGGAAUUUUUUCUGCUGCUAAGUAUGAGCAUUCGACGAAAUUUUUGGGGGACAAAGUUUCAAAAGUAAUGUAACGUCAAAAUAUUGGACAACUUAACUUCAGAAAUGGCUUUUCAUACAUCUGCGCAGUAAAUAUUAAUGGAGUAUAGUCAAUA